UUCCGUAGGUGAACCUGCGGAAGGAUCAUUAACAAAAUUCAUUCCAACUCAACCAAGCCUAUUUAUAUGGUGGACCCGAAAGGUGUUAACCAUUAUAAAACUAAAAAUCAAAACAACCUAACUAAGACCUAAACAAAAACCAAAUUCUCAACGGUGGAUGUCUAGGUUCCCACAACGAUGAAGAACGCAGCGAAGUGCGAUAAGCAGUGCGAAUUGCAGAACCGUGAGUCAUCAGAUUUUUGAACGCAACUUGCGCCAAGGUAGCUUGCUGCCUGGCACGUCUGGUCCAGUGUCUUAUUCUCUCAUCACCUAAAUCAUAAUGAUUAAGAUAACCUUCUUAAUCUAAGUAUGAAAGCACUCUGCAAAUGCGCGUGACCUUUUAGGUCGCACUCAAUGCGGUCGUCACGUUCUUAUGAAUGUGAACUCAUUGAGAGCAUUCGUAGUAUUCCUUUGGAGUAAAGUGCUUAGAGAAGUCAACUUAGAACUCGUAUCUGGGCUCAGGUGGGACUACCCGCUGAACUUAAGCAUAUCAAUAAGCGGAGGAAAU
rnacentral:rRNA from 1 species